UACAGAGGUCUCAAGCGUUGUUCGGAUUCAUUGGGCGUAAAGGGUGCGUAGGCGGCGCGGUAAGUCGGGUGUGAAAUCUCGGAGCUUAACUCCGAAACUGCAUUCGAUACUGCCGUGCUUGAGGACUGGAGAGGAGACUGGAAUUUACGGUGUAGCGGUGAAAUGCGUAGAUAUCGGGAGGAACACCGGUGGCGAAGGCGGCCCCCUGGUUGGAUACUGACGCUGAGACGCGAAAGCGUGGGGAGCAAACAGG
rnacentral:rRNA from 1 species